GACGAACGCUGGCGGCGUGCUUAACACACGCAAGUCGAGCGGAAAGGCCCUUUCGGGGGUACUCGAGCGGCGAACGGGUGAGUAACACGUGAGUAAUCUGCCCUUCACUUGGGGAUAACCUCCGGAAACGGUGGCUAAUACCCGAUACGACCAUUCCUCGCAUGAGGUGGUGGUGGAAAGUUUUUCGGUGGGGGAUGUGCUCGCGGCCUAUCAGCUUGUUGGUGGGGUAAUGGCCUACCAAGGCUUCGACGGGUAGCCGGCCUGAGAGGGUGACCGGCCACACUGGGACUGAGACACGGCCCAGACUCCUACGGGAGGCAGCAGUGGGGAAUAUUGGACAAUGGGCGGAAGCCUGAUCCAGCAACGCCGCGUGAGGGAUGACGGCCUUCGGGUUGUAAACCUCUUUCACCUGUGACGAAGCGAAAGUGACGGUAGCAGGAGAAGAAGCACCGGCCAACUACGUG
rnacentral:rRNA from 1 species